rnacentral:lncRNA from 1 species
GAAAUUAAAAGCUAACUUAUGCUCUUAUAUGAACAAUCGGAACACCUGUCAGAGAAUGUACGGUGUUGUAGAAAGAAGAAAAAGGUUCGUUAUAAAGAUUAUCGUGCAUUUGAAAUGAUCAAAUAUGGUAAUAUUUUCUUGUCAGUUUUGUGUUGGAAUAAAUACACCUACAAAGUUGAGGAGAAGACUUGCAUAGGAAAGAAGACUUGCAUAGCAACACAACGAGACAGGUAAACUAAAUGGAUGAUUGAAAUAUAAAUAAUAUGCAUAUUUCAUUUUAUAUUGAUAAUGACUGUAUACUUCAAAAUAAGUCACUCAUGAGUAUUUCGCGAGUUAAGGGUAUGAUUGCACAGCAUGAAAAUACAUGAAAUGACAUGGUACAAAUAAUAUAAUAGAAAAAUAUGAAUGUCUGAAUACACUUCAAAAGAGCAAAAUAUGUCCACCUGUUAAUAUUUUAUGGCUUGGCUGGAUAUAAAGUGAUUAUAUGCAUUGUAUGUUUCAGAAAUGUAAUAUAUGUUUUGAAUUUAGAGAUUCGUAUUUGUUUUUGAGUGAUGAUUAUGCAAACUAUUGUUUGAAGAUGUCUAUUAUCACUUUAUUGUCUGUAUCAAUCUAUACAGUUAACUAUAAUUAUACUGUGAGGGAGCUUCACAAAUAUCUUUUCCAAUGUAGUUUCUGACGCACCUUAUGUUUGAAGCAAACAAUUCCAGACGACUAGAAAUUUUGCGAAAAAAAUACCACAUUUAAAUUUUAUCUAUCUAGGUAAAGUCAUGCCUAAAAAGUCUUCCAAGGGGCACAGGCUAGUCUCUACUCCGAGUGAAAUAUGUGGUGUAAACACAGCUAUUUCAUAUGCCGAAUAUUCACACAUAAAAACCGCAUACAAAUUUGGUCCCUGGCUGUUGUUAUUUUAGGUCUACAGAUGAUUCUUCUAUGGGAAGGGCA